GGCUGUCUUUCCUGCCCUGCUCCCAACAGCAUCAGCUUUCUCCCAGCCCUCAAAGGCAAAGGACGAUUAGUCGCAGGCUGGGCUCUCGGAGUGUUGAGAUAUGGAUUAAGAAUACUCCGUUCAGUGAUGUUGAAUGACCAAUUGAAUAUUUUUGGGUGGGCAGAUGGCAAGAUCCUGGAAGUGUAAAACAGCUACAAGAAACAAGAUGAUUCAGACAGAAGGAGUAUGAAUAAAUCCUGGCUGGUCAUCUCAUUAUUAAUCAAGAUACCACCACCCACCCUCUACCGCCUUG
rnacentral:lncRNA from 1 species